GACAUAGGUCGCAAACGUUAUCCGGAAUUAUUGGGCGUAAAGGAUGCGUAGAUGGUUCAGUAAGUUACUGGUGGGAAAUCGAGGCCCAACCUCGUGGAAGUUAGUAAUACUAUUGAACUUGAGUGCAGGAGAGGUUAACGGAACUUCAUGUGGAGCGGUAAAAUGCGUAGAUAUAUGAAAGAACAUCAAUAUAGCGAAGGCAGUUAACUAUUCUGCUACUGACAUUGAGGCAUGAAAGCGUGGGGAGCAAAACGG
rnacentral:rRNA from 1 species